CAGAAGGCUGUGAUCAGAGAACGAGAAUCAAGCGUGGGAUCAUGGAAGCAGCAUGGCUGGGAGUGGUAGGAAGCCCAGGUCACCUGCCUGGUCUCCACCAGUCUGACAGUCCUCAGGGGUGUCAGAUGCAUCGCAGCUGACUCAGGCUUUGCAUCUGUGCAGCUGGAAGGAAAGAAGAAAAGGAGGAGGACUGAAUUCUGAAGGAGAAGCUCGAGGCAGCCAGACGGUUACGUGAUGGGGCGUGCCUGAACAGCAGUGCUCCCAGCAUGCCCCAGGGGCCUCACUCUGUCACCCAGGCUGGAGGGCAGUGGCACCAUCAUGGAUCACAGCAACCUUCAACUCCUGGGCUCAACUGAUCCUCCUGCCUCAGCUCCCGAGUAGCUGGGACUGCAGGCACAUGCCACCGUGCCCAGCAAACACCUGCAGGAAGAGGCAGAGCCUGGGCUGAACCUGGUGGUGUGGCGGCAGAUGAGGCCGUGUGCCCACUCCAUGAGGCCUCUCUGGGAAAAGCAUGACAAAGGGUAGGAGAGACUGUGCCCUUCGGGAGCCCACGGGGUCAUGGAUCAGACUGGGGUAAGAGAGGGGACUUUAAAAGCAAAAUAAGACACAGCAAGAUCUCAUCUCUACAAAAAGAUUUGUUAAAUUAGCCAUGCGUGGUGGCAUGGGUUAGACACCCCUGGCCCCAGGCCCGGGAGGAACGCCACACAGGGAGCCUCUGAGGGAGGCAGGUGGGUGAGAGUGGGGAGGACGAGUGGGAUGCUCCAAGGGAAAACGAGGACCGCUGCUCCUCAGUGCAACACGGGCUUUCAGCCUUUGCCCCUGUGCUGUACAUACUGUACAAGGAAGUUAUUUUGAAAGAAUUGAAGUAGUAUCAAAAUAAUUCAUUUACAAGUAGACAAGUGCACCCUGUCUGUGGAUAAUCGAAUAUA